CUAGGCCCAUUCAUUUGUUAAAGGGCUUCAGCCCACACAAGUCUAUGGUUGUCCUCUGCUGUAAUUCUCUCAGCUGGUCGGGGGCCAUCACACUUCUCUCGUUCCUCGUCUGAUUGAUUCCCAUCACACUUUUCUCACCUACUCGUUCAUCUCCGCCUCAUGGAUUCCUCGUGUCUUUUCUGUACCGCUUCCUCUAAUCUUUUACGCAGGUCAUGUUAUUGUGCUGCUGCAUAUUGAUUUCAUCGCGAUUACACUAGUACAUGAGGAUCUGUGAACAGCGCUUGAGGAUACCUCUUGUUUUACACUCCUGGUUCGAUGUGUUGAAGAAUAUUGAUGAAUGAAUAACCUGUCGUCGUGGGAACCUGGGGAGAUGGGGUGAGGAAGAAUUCUGGCUUCUAUAACAGCUUUUGGUUUUCUUUAGGUUGAUCGUUUUUAGGAAACAUGGUGAGGCAUGGUCAUAUCUGCGGCGAGAAUUAGUGGUCUGGGGGCACUGUUGUAAAGAACAGGGAUUAAGUGUUAAUUAUAGCUGUGCUUGUCUCGUCAAUGAUCAUUGAUGUUAGUUUGUUUAUUUUGUAUGAGAUAUGAAGAUUUAUUGGAAUUUUUAGGGUUAUCUUGUGCAGUGGGGUGAAUUUUUAUGCAAUUUAUAUAUUUAAGUUGA